rnacentral:rRNA from 1 species
AACCUCUGCAAUAGGCGAAAGCUUGACAGGGUUACUCUGAGUGAUUUCCGUUAAGGAGAUCUUUUGGCACCUCUAAAAAUGGUGCAGAAUAAGGGGUGGGCAAGUCUGGUGUCAGCCGCCGCGGUAAUACCAGCACCCCGAGUGGUCGGGACGUUUAUUGGGCCUAAAGCAUCCGUAGCCGGUUCUACAAGUCUUCCGUUAAAUCCACCUGCUCAACAGAUGGGCUGCGGAAGAUACUAUGGAGCUAGGAGGCGGGAGAGGCAAGCGGUACUCGAUGGGUAGGGGUAAAAUCCGUUGAUCCAUUGAAGACCACCAGUGGCGAAGGCGGCUUGCCAGAACGCGCUCGACGGUGAGGGAUGAAAGCUGGGGGAGCAAACCGGAUUAGAUACCCGGGUAGUCCCAGCUGUAAACGAUGCAGACUCGGUGAUGAGUUGGCUUUAUGCCAACUCAGUGCCGCAGGGAAGCCGUUAAGUUGCCGCCUGGGAGUACGUCGCAUGAAGUG